rnacentral:rRNA from 1 species
UAGGGAAUAUUGGUAAUCUGGGAAACCGGGAACCAGCAACGCCGCGUGCGCGAUGAAGGCCUUCGGGUUGUAAAGCGCUUUUUAUGGGGAUGAGGAAGGACAGUACUCUUAGAAUAAGCCUCGGCUAACUACGUGCCAGCAGCCGCGGUAAAACGUAGGAGGCGAGCGUUAUCCGGAUUUACUGGGCGUAAAGCGUGUGUAGGCGGUUUGAUAAGUUGGAUGUGAAAGCUCCCGGCUCAACUGGGAGAGGUCGUUCAAAACUAUCAGACUUGAGGGUGGUAGAGGGAGGUGGGAUUCCGCGUGUAGUGGUGAAAUGCGUAGAUAUGCGGGGGAACACCAGUGGCGAAAGCGGCCUCCUGGCCCAUUUCUGACGCUCAGACACGAAAGCUAAGGUAGCAAACA